AGCUCCAAUAGCGUAUACUAAAGUUGUUGCGGUUAAAAAGCUCGUAGUUGGAUCUUGGAAUGUGUUCAAGCGGGUCAGCUUCUGGCUGUUCGCUGCUUGACGUGUUCUUCUAUUUGGUUUUGGUGCGGUGCGCUUAACUGCGUGUCGCUCCCGGCCGAAACGUUUACCUUGAAAAAAUUAGAGUGUUCAAAGCAGACCUGUUUGAGUCUGAAUAUUCGUGCAUGGAAUAAUGAAAUAUGAAUUCGGUUCUAUUUUGUUGGUUUUCGGAACUCGAGUUAAUGAUCAAGAGGGACAGACGGGGGCAUUCGUACUCUGCCGUUAGAGGUGAAAUUCUUGGAUCGGCGGAAGACGCGCAACUGCGAAAGCAUUUGCCAAGAAUGUUUUCUUUA
rnacentral:rRNA from 1 species